rnacentral:rRNA from 1 species
CUGAGUUGUAAUUUGCAGAGGAUGCUUCGGGCGCUACCGCUGUCCAAGUCCCCUGGAACGGGGCGUCGUAGAGGGUGAGAAUCCCGACUUCGGCCGGCCGGUCUCGCCCGUGUGAAGCUCCUUCGACGAGUCGAGUUGUUUGGGAAUGCAGCUCCAAAUGGGUGGUAAAUUUCAUCUAAAGCUAAAUACUGGUCGGAGACCGAUAGCGCACAAGUGGAGUGAUCGAAAGAUGAAAAGCACUUUGAAAAGAGAGUUAAACAGCAUGUGAAAUUGUUGAAAGGGAAGCGCUUGCGACCAGAGUCGGCCGUGGGGGUUCAGCGGGCAUUCGUUGCCCGUGCAAUCCCCCGCGGCCGGGCCAGCGUCGGUUUCGACGGCCGGUCAAAGGCUCCCGGAAUGUGUCGCCUCUCGGGGCGUCUUAUAGCCGGGGGUGCAAUGCGGCCAGUCGGGACCGAGGAACGCGCUCCGGCACGGACGCUGGCUUAAUGGUCGUCAGCGACCCGUCUUGAAACACGGACCAAGGAGUCUAACAUCCACGCGAGUGUUCGGGUGUCAAACCCGUCCGCGCAGUGAAAGCGAACGGAGGUGGGAACCCCUGAGGGUGCACCAUCGACCGAUCCUGAAGUCUUCGGAUGGAUUUGAGUAGGA